rnacentral:misc_RNA from 1 species
AACGCACAUUGCGCUCCCUGGUAUUCCGGAGAGCACGCCCGUUCCAGAAUCAGUAAAAAUCUCACUCCAGCUUGGGUGUUUUCGGACCCCAAGCGAGGGUGGAACAUGGAUUUUUGCUUUUUGCAAUCAUCUCAAAUUCAGUGUAUGUACACCGAAGCUUGGUCUUUGCGUUGUCAAAGUGCAACAGAUUUUUGUCGCCGCUUGGACAAUGGAAGGAUCGCCUCGAUGGGCAUGCUUCUACCCUCCAGCACGGUUUCCGGAUCGGUACGAUCCGGUUUCCGAUAACUUGAUCUGGAAUCGGGCGGGAAAACCCGCUGAACUUAA